GUGGUAAUGCCGGAUGCUCCGGUUGGAUGCAUGUCCUUCCGGGAAAGAUUCUAUCGGUAUGGGAUGGGGUCGCGUCCUAUCAGCUUGAUGGCGGGGUAACGGCCCACCAUGGCUUCGACGGGUAGCCGGCCUGAGAGGGCGACCGGCCACAUUGGGACUGAGAUACGGCCCAGACUCCUACGGGAGGCAGCAGUGGGGAAUAUUGCACAAUGGGCGCAAGCCUGAUGCAGCGACGCCGCGUGCGGGAUGGAGGCCUUCGGGUUGUAAACCGCUUUUGAUCGGGAGCAAGCCCUUCGGGGUGAGUGUACCUUUCGAAUAAGCACCGGCUAACUACGUGCCAGCAGCCGCGGUAAUACGUAGGGUGCAAGCGUUAUCCGGAAUUAUUGGGCGUAAAGGGCUCGUAGGCGGUUCGUCGCGUCCGGUGUGAAAGCCCAUCGCUUAACGGUGGGUCUGCGCCGGGUACGGGCGGGCUGGAGUGCGGUAGGGGAGACUGGAAUUCCCGGUGUAACGGUGGAAUGUGUAGAUAUCGGAAAGAACACCA
rnacentral:rRNA from 1 species